AGGUCUACAGCCCCGCGAUGAGGCCACACCUCCACCCUCCAUCCACUAGGGAGCAGGUCUACAGCCCCGCGAUGAGGCCACACCUCCACCCUCCAUCCACCAGGGGGCAGGUCUACAGCCCCGCGAUGAGGCCACACCUCCACCCUCCAUCCACCAGGGGGCAGGUCAACAGCCCCGCGAUGAGGCCCACGCCCGUUCUGCUGCGGCUCCGUCACCACCGUCUCCUGGCAUGACAACACAUCAGAGGAAGGGACUGGCGGAGGAGCUGAAGGUGGAUGUGCGACCUGUUGGUCUCGGAACGGCAGUCACAGUGCGGCAGGACAAAGCGAGAGCGUCUGCUGUGAUGCGUCCACGCUGGGACCCGGCCGCUGGGAGGCCGUGGAUCACAGUGACAUCACGGUGACAUCACGGUGACAUCACAGCCCGGACGACGGAUGGCUCACUUAAGAACCGUCCGGCUCGACCACAACUCAAUCAUAG
ensembl:lncRNA